GCAUACAAAAUGACAAAUAAAGUUGUCUAAGUCUAAUCUUUUAUGCAGUUAUUACACACUUUCCAUUUUAUGUUAUUAGGAGGGAUGCCUAAUAAGUGCUCUUCUGAUCCAUUGUAUGUUUUCUAUCUACAAACAUACAGGAUAACGAAAGCCUUUUGUCCUUUUCUUUGUUUCCUCGCUGCUGUCCAGACACAAUGGCAGUCUCCUGCUGGCGCAUUCAGGGAAGUUCUUGUCAGCCAGUCGUCUCAUUUUAUUCGCAGACCUGGACAAAGGAGUCAAGGUAGACAGGCAGAAAUGAACAGUGUGAUAUCAAGACAAAGUUUACUCAGUUUCAACCAAAUGAAGGGACAGAGACCAAUCCUUUCAGCGUUUGGUAUAAAUUCAAGAGCACCUUCCCACAUGCAAGAUUUUCUUCAACAAUCCGGAGAUCCCGCUGUCCGAUAUUGUUUUUGUGCGCAGAGUUGUUUGACUUUGAGAGGGCGGGACUCUGUGGAGAGCGAAAUGAACUAGGCGCGGCCAAGCGGAGCCCCAUCCAUCUAUCACACGUGUAGACAAAGGGGGGACUCCACAACACAGAGCUUGGUGCCCCUCUCAAACUUUUUCCACGGACGCACGGGAACGCGCGCACAGCGAACCAGCCCAGGUGGAAUUUUAACACAGAUUAUGGAGCAAGACAUUUCCUGUGGAAGGUGGAAGAAAAUAGCCGAAAAAUUAUGCAAAAACGACAUGAAGAUGGCACAGGAUCACCCACAGGAUGACUUUUUAAGACGGAGAGGAGGAUUAAGAGACUAUGCAGCUUCUUUUGGGGGAGAAGGUAAAGACUUAUCUCAUGUUGGAUUUAAACUUCUGCAACAGCGGUGCCAGUUGGAUUGCGUUUUAGGGCACACUUGGAAAUCCAGAACUCAUGGAGAUACUUUUAAGGAUUAUAAGAAUUCACAAUAAAUCUCUCCGCAAGAGGCGUCUUGGGCCAGAGUCUCUGGGAUAGCAGGAUAUUGCAUUUCUGAUCCUUCUCGGCCUUCUGCACGGGUAUCCCUGGUCUGGUGCUUUUGUCUGUCUGUAUCUCUUUCCUGCCCUCUCAACAUCCUGCCGAUUGAGGCAGAGGACCACUCUUCCUGAGUUUGCCUCUGCUGGAGGUCCCUUCCUGUUAAAAGGGAGUUCCGCCCUUCACCGUUGAUGCCAUCCUGUUUGCUCAGGAAGGUGGCGGGAGUGUGGGAGUAGUGAGGUCUGGGAGAUCACGACCCUAAUUCUCUCCAAGACAGACGGUUUAAUUAACACUGGAGGAAUCCUCACUGACUCCAGACCUCUACAAUAAGAAUGUACUGGGGAAUUGGCACUGCACAGAUCUGCCUCAGGUCUUGGACAUUUAGUGGACCAGAAAGCUGACAGAUGAUGCCCAUGAAUGAUGGAUGAUGUCUUCUUGGUGCCAGUUGAAUGCUUAAUAAAGCAAUGAUACGGCUCCUGUCACUUUUGGCCCACAUUGGCAGAAGACCACCUCACAGGGAUUUUCCUCUUCACCAGGUGUGGCAGAGUGAGAUUCAGUGAGAACAUCUGCACGUGAGUGUCAAGCUUGUUCGGGAGGAGCAAAGAUCUAAAAACAAGCCUGCAUCAAAAGGGACAGGAGAGAUGCAGAGAGAAAGGAGAACGUCUUGAUAGAGAAGAGAAAACAGCAGGAAAAGAUGAAAGGACAUUUUCUGUGUAUGUAUAAAGCUUUAGCAUUAUUCUGUGGUAUCAAUGAUGUUCAUCUUUACAACCUAUAACUCACUGUGCAGAAGUGGUCAAAUGUGUUUAAAUGUGUUUUUUUUUUGGUUUUUAUUUUGGAUAGUAAACUUGUAAAACUGAGAAGAACAUGACUUUUCUACUAUAUUUUAUUGUUUAAGUAAUUAAACUCAAGAAAAAACAUUUUAAAGGUGGCAUGUGCUCUUUUUAUAUGAAGCUUUUACUUAAGACUGCAUAGAUUCAAGAAACUGACGUCAGAGCAAUGCGUCUCAAGUGUCUGGUAGAAUGACAUCAUAUGUAGGUGGUCAUAGUUUGGUCGCUGGAGAGCAAAAACAGCAUUAAGAACAUGUACUCAUACAAUAUGCAUAGCUCUGAGGAGAAAUAUGCCUAAACUCUUGUAACAAUAAAAUGUUAAGAGUUUAACUUUUAUCACUGCAGCAUGGAUUAUUGAUGAACUUUGUAUUGCUCUGUGAAAAAUCUAUUCAAUAUAAAGGUGUACAAAGAGAUUUCUUUCCUGCUCACAGGACUAGUGAAAACAUAGCUCAUGACAGCAACUGCAAAUGUCAUUUGAGGCUAUGCCGGGAAAAUAAUGAAGAGUACCAAAAGGAAAGUAUUGCUCUUCUUCAAAUUUAUAUUCGAAAGUUCUCGAUAUGAAGGUUGCUUGAAUAGAUUACACUGUGCUAUUAUUGAAGUUUGUAUUUAAAUUUUGACUUCUGGCAAUCAAUCACAAAACCAUGUAAUAACCAAACAAAAGACAAAACAAAACAAUCAUUAUCCAGAGUAAAACUGAGAAUGCCAUGGUGUUUAUAUGGAGGCAUAUAUUGUUAUAUGCCUGGUUGUUUGAGUUUUCCUGUUUCUUUUACGUCUCUGCUUUCUUCAUUUCUCUGCUGUUUAUAUUCUUUAGUAGUUACCAUUUUAGUGCAUUUGUUUGUAGACUAGGUUCUUAGUUCAUUCUUGUGUACAUUUUUCUAUUAUCUCUUUUAAAUGUCUUCCCUGUGUUUCUGUCUCGCUCUUCAGCUGCUGUUCAUUACUCUCCUUCCCUCAGCUCCCUCUGCCCUCAUUCUUUUCAACUGUUUAUCAUCUCCACUUGAUUGCUCUCAACUGUUUUGCCAUGCCUUUCUCUGCACUUACAUCUGCUUAUCACGUUUCUUGUUUUCAUUAAUCAUAGCUGGUUUCUUGAUUAAACGCUCUAUGUCCAUUACUUCUCCUGAUGUUCCGUGCCUUUUUUCCAUGUCUGAUCUCCUGUUUCAAAAUAGUACACUUCCUAUUUUUCAUCAUUAACUCUUUUUUUUUUUUUUUUGCCACAGCCACUCUCUGUAUUUGUAUCCUUUUCAACCGUAAUCAUGACAUAUGUAAGAAGCUACCUUUACAAUAACAAGGAAUGUUGUGUUGUAUUUAAUUCCUCAGCUAUGUUUUCAUUUAACUGUAUUGUGGACCUAAUAAACAUUGAGUGUUUUGUCAAUGAA